rnacentral:rRNA from 1 species
AGGGAAUAUUGGUCAAUGGGCGAGGGCCUGAACCAGCCAUGCCGCGUGCAGGAAGACGGCCUUCUGGGUUGUAAACUGCUUUUGGCCGGGAACAAAAAGCCCCUGCGGGGGAAAUUGAGUGUACCGGCAGAAUAAGCACCGGCUAACUCCGUGCCAGCAGCCGCGGUAAUACGGAGGGUGCAAGCGUUGUCCGGAUUUAUUGGGUUUAAAGGGUGCGUAGGCGGGCCAAUAAGUCAGUGGUGAAAGCCCACAGCUCAACUGUGGAACCGCCAUUGAUACUGUUGGCCUUGAGUACCGUUGGGGCAGGCGGAAUUUAUGGUGUAGCGGUGAAAUGCAUAGAUACCAUAAAGAACACCGAUAGCGUAGGCAGCUUGCUAAACGGUAUCUGUUUUCUGAGGCACGAAAGCAUGGGGAGCGAACAGGAUUAGAUACCCUGGUAGUCCAUGCCGUAAACGAUGAUUACCCGAUGUGCGCGAUACACUGUGCGCGUCCAAGCGAAAGC